rnacentral:lncRNA from 1 species
CUCUCUCCGCCACGCCCCGGCACCGGGUAGACACCGCAGCCAGGUAACCAAAGAACCGCGAGUGAAGCUUUGGCCAGAUCAUUAAAAAGCUUCUCCUUGAAAAAUACUCAGAAGAUGCAACACACACACACACACACACGUGUGUGCACUUACACACGCGGACACCGUAUCACAUCAUCAGUGGGAAAAGUGAUAGAAUCUUGCUAAAGGCUGAUCAUACCAUAUUAAUCCGAUUCGCCAGAACUACUUUCUUCACUGAGCUCUCAGCCUGCUCCCAACCAGGUGUCUCCAGAACUUUUUCUCUCCGCCACCAACUCCGCCUCCAGACAAACAGCAGGUGCUUUCUGUCAUAGGGACUGGCGUGCCGCGGACAGUGUGAUAAAGAAACUGUAUGAUGGAUAUGAGAAAUUCGUAAGACCCAGCAGCAAAUGGGGAGCGGCUGGCGAGCGCUCCACAGCCCCCAAGCGUGGGAGCUCUAGAUCGGAAUUUGUAAUUUGGAAUUGGAACGUGAGCGCCGGAACAACUCUCCCAGUAACCACCUCUCCCAGUAACCACCUCAGCUGG